rnacentral:rRNA from 1 species
GAUGAACGCUGGCGGCGUGCCUAAUACAUACAAGUCGAGCGAACGGACGAGAAGCUUGCUUCUCUGAUGUUAGCGGCGGACGGGUGAGUAACACGUGGAUAACCUACCUAUAAGACUGGGAUAACUUCGGGAAACCGGAGCUAAUACCGGAUAAUAUUUUGAACCGCAUGGUUCAAAAGUGAAAGACGGUCUUGCUGUCACUUAUAGAUGGAUCCGCGCUGCAUUAGCUAGUUGGUAAGGUAACGGCUUACCAAGGCAACGAUGCAUAGCCGACCUGAGAGGGUGAUCGGCCACACUGGAACUGAGACACGGUCCAGACUCCUACGGGAGGCAGCAGUAGGGAAUCUUCCGCAAUGGGCGAAAGCCUGACGGAGCAACGCCGCGUGAGUGAUGAAGGUCUUCGGAUCGUAAAACUCUGUUAUUAGGGAAGAACAUAUGUGUAAGUAACUGUGCACAUCUUGACGGUACCUAAUCAGAAAGCCACGGCUAACUACGUGCCAGCAGCCGCGGUAAUACGUAGGUGGCAAGCGUUAUCCGGAAUUAUUGGGCGUAAAGCGCGCGUAGGCGGUUUUUUAAGUCUGAUGUGAAAGCCCACGGCUCAACCGUGGAGGGUCAUUGGAAACUGGAAAACUUGAGUGCAGAAGAGGAAAGUGGAAUUCCAUGUGUAGCGGUGAAAUGCGCAGAGAUAUGGAGGAACACCAGUGGCGAAGGCGACUUUCUGGUCUGUAACUGACGCUGAUGUGCGAAAGCGUGGGGAUCAAACAGGAUUAGAUACCCUGGUAGUCCACGCCGUAAACGAUGAGUGCUAAGUGUUAGGGGGUUUCCGCCCCUUAGUGCUGCAGCUAACGCAUUAAGCACUCCGCCUGGGGAGUACGACCGCAAGGUUGAAACUCAAAGGAAUUGACGGGGACCCGCACAAGCGGUGGAGCAUGUGGUUUAAUUCGAAGCAACGCGAAGAACCUUACCAAAUCUUGACAUCCUUUGACAACUCUAGAGAUAGAGCCUUCCCCUUCGGGGGACAAAGUGACAGGUGGUGCAUGGUUGUCGUCAGCUCGUGUCGUGAGAUGUUGGGUUAAGUCCCGCAACGAGCGCAACCCUUAAGCUUAGUUGCCAUCAUUAAGUUGGGCACUCUAAGUUGACUGCCGGUGACAAACCGGAGGAAGGUGGGGAUGACGUCAAAUCAUCAUGCCCCUUAUGAUUUGGGCUACACACGUGCUACAAUGGACAAUACAAAGGGCAGCGAAACCGUGAGGUCAAGCAAAUCCCAUAAAGUUGUUCUCAGUUCGGAUUGUAGUCUGCAACUCGACUACAUGAAGCUGGAAUCGCUAGUAAUCGUAGAUCAGCAUGCUACGGUGAAUACGUUCCCGGGUCU